UACGUAGGGUGCAAGCGUUAAUCGGAAUUACUGGGCGUAAAGCGUGCGCAGGCGGUUUUGUAAGUUUGUCGUGAAAGCCCCGGGCUCAACCUGGGAAUUGCGAUGAAGACUGCAAGGCUUGAAUCUGGCAGAGGGGGUAGAAUUCCACGUGUAGCAGUGAAAUGCGUAGAGAUGUGGAAGAACACCAGUGGCGAAGGCGGCCCGCUGGGCAGUGGCUGACGCUGAGGCGCGACAGCGUGGGGAGCAAACAGG
rnacentral:rRNA from 1 species